rnacentral:sRNA from 23 species
GUCAGGGACCCAAUCCCCUAGAAGGGGACGGGCUUGCAGAGGCCCUACCUGACCAGACUCAGUGCGUAAGCACUACGUUAGGAGCGAAAUUAGGUACGUCAGGGUGCGAGGCCAGCCUUGACCUCUACG